UACGUAGGGGGCAAGCGUUGUCCGGAUUUAUUGGGCGUAAAGAGCGUGUAGGCGGCCAGGUAGGUCGGUUGUGAAAACUGGAGGCUCAACCUUCAGACGUCGACCCAAACCCCCUGGCUAGAGUCCGGAAGAGGAGAGUGGAAUUCCUGGUGUAGCGGUGAAAUGCGCAGAUAUCAGGAGGAACACCGGUGGCGAAGGCGGGUCUCUGGGCCGAUACUGACGCUGAGGAGCGAAAGCGUGGGGAGCGAACAGG
rnacentral:rRNA from 1 species